AACGAACGCUGGCGGCAGGCCUAACACAUGCAACUCGAGCGGACCCUUCGGGGUUAGCGGCGGACGGGUGAGUAACGCGUGGGAAUAUGCCCUUCUCUACGGAAUAGUCCUGGGAAACUGGGGGUAAUACCGUAUACGCCCUUUGGGGGAAAGAUUUAUCGGGGAAGGAUUAGCCCGCGUUGGAUUAGGUAGUUGGUGGGGUAAUGGCCUACCAAGCCGACGAUCCAUAGCUGGUUUGAGAGGAUGAUCAGCCACACUGGGACUGAGACACGGCCCAGACUCCUACGGGAGGCAGCAGUGGGGAAUCUUAGACAAUGGGGGCAACCCUGAUCGAGCCAUGCCGCGUGAGUGAUGAAGGCCUUAGGGUUGUAAAGCUCUUUCAGCUGGGAAGAUAAUGACGGUACCAGCAGAAGAAGCCCCGGCUAACUCCGUG
rnacentral:rRNA from 1 species